GGCCCCGCCCUGCGCCCGCGCGGGGACUGGCUCGCGAGCUGGUCCCUCCGGCGCUUCCUCUUGUGCAGCGGAGCAGAGCGGAGCCGAGCCCGGCCGAGCCGGGCCGGGCCGGGCCGGGCUGGGCCGAGCCCAGCCGAGCCAAACCGAGCGGAACCUAGCCGAACUGAGCGGAACUGAACCGAACUGAACCUAGUGGGCAGGUUCUGAAAAGAGGAAGGAAUUCACAGAUCGGGAUGGCUUGUCCUGACAGGAAGGAGGACUCCCAGCCCCGGAGUCCUAGCUGGGGCCUGAAGCGGAGCAGGGCCUGCCUGACCCAGGAGCAGGUAGCCAGCCAGUUGGCUAUGCUGAGAAAGGCACAGGAAUUCUUCCAGACCUGUGAUGUGGAGGGCAAGGGCUUCAUUGCCAGGAGAGACAUGCAGAGGCUCCAUGAGGAGUUGCCCCUCAGCCUGCAGGACCUGGAGGAUGUGUUUGAUGCACUGGAUGCUGACGGCAAUGGUUUUCUGACCCCAGAGGAGUUUGCUACUGGAUUUAGGCACUUCUUCAGUCAGAGUAACUCAAGUCAGGAGAACGAAGAUGAGCAGGUGGCCCAACUCCAGGAGGAAAAGGUGUACCAGUCCAGAGGGGACAGGGACCUGGGGGAUGUGGACCAGGAUGAGGAAGCCCAGUUCCAGAUGCUGAUGGACAAACUCGGAGCCCAGAAGGUGCUGGAGGAUGAAAGUGAUGUCAAACAACUCUGGCUGCAGCUGAAGAAAGAUGAGCCUCACCUGCUGUCCAGUUUCGAAGAUUUCCUGACUAGGAUCUUCUCCCAGCUCCAAGAAGCCCACGAGGAGAAGAACGAACUAGAAUGCGCCCUUAAAAAGAAAAUUGCUGCUUAUGAUGAAGAAAUCCAGCAUCUUUAUGAGGAGAUGGAACAACAAAUCAAAAGUGAGAGGGAGCAGUUUCUCCUGAAAGACACAGAGAGGUUCCAGGCCCGCAGUCAGGAGCUGGAGAAGAAACUGUUUGCCAAGGAGCAAGAGCUGGAACGACUCAACCAGCAGCAGAAAAGGCUGGAGGGGCAGUGCAUGGCACUACACAAUGACAAGCAUGAGACCAAGACUGAGAACACCAAGUUGAAGCUCACAAACCAGGAGCUGGCUCAGGAGUUGGAGCGCACCUCGAGGGAGCUGCAGGAUGCUCAGCAGCAGCUGGAGAGCCUGCAACAAGAAGCCUGCAAGCUGUACCAGGAGAAGGAGAUGGAGGUGUAUCGUGUGACCGAGAGUCUGCAGCGAGAGAAGUUGGGGCUUCUGAAGCAGCUGGAUUUCCUAAGGGAGAGGAACAAACAUCUCCGGGAUGAACGGGACAUAAGCUUUCAGAAAGAUAAGGCAGCCAAGGCAAACACAGCUGCUUCCAAGGCAAGCUGGAAGCAGAGAUCUGGCUCUGUGAUCGGCAAAUAUGUGGACAAUGGAGGGAUUCGUAGAAGCCAGUCUGAGGAGGAGGAAGAUAUGUUUAGCAUUCCGAGAAGAAAGAGCUCCCUGGGCCUGAGUGCAUACCCCCUCACAGAAGAGGAGCCCGGGACCAGCGAGCCAGGAGCUGGGGGUCCACUCCGACGGGCGCUUCGCAGGAUCAUCUCUAUCGAGGAAGACCCCCUGCCCCAGCUCCUGGAUGUCACCACUGAGCAGCCAUUGAACAAGUGCUCUGAAGAGGAGGGGGUCCCCAGCCAGGGGGCUGAGGGACCAAUCCCACAGGCCCCACCCUUGACACUUUCCCCUAAGUCUCCCCGAGGGCAGCCUGUCGGAAAAGAAGCCCUCUGUCGGGAGGAACAUUCACCACCCACUCCAGAUCGGCUCUUCAAGAUUGUGUUUGUGGGCAACUCUGCGGUGGGGAAGACGUCCUUACUGAGGAGGCUCUGCGACGAGCACUUCUCCACAGGCAUUGCAGCCACUGUGGGUAUCGAUUACCGAGUGAAGACAAUAAACGUGGAUGGCUCUCAGGUGGCCCUGCAGCUGUGGGACACGGCUGGACAGGAAAGGUACCGCUGCAUCACCCAGCAGUUCUUCCGAAAAGUUGAUGGCAUCAUCAUCGUAUACGACCUCACAGCCAAGGAGUCAUUCCUGUCAGUCCGGCAGUGGCUCAGCAGCAUAGAGGAAGCUAUGGGAGGCCGUGUUCCUGUUCUUCUGCUGGGCAAUAAACUUGACAAUGAGAAGGAGCGAGAAGUUCCCCGAGGCCUGGGGGAGCAACUUGCCAAGAAAAACACUGAGAUGGUAGUUGAGUGUCUCAGCUCACCAGUGGUGGGAUCAGCAGUCCUGUCUCCCAGUGGGUCCUGUACCCUCCUGCCCCCACCCACCAAUGGCUCCAUGCCCACAAGACAUCGACCUCUGAGGAAACAGCAUCUCCAAGCAGGAGCUGGUGCCAUCAGCAGUGCUAUCACAGAGAGAACAAUCUGAUCUUCUAUGAAUGCAGUGCCUAUUCCGGUCACAACACCAAAGAGUCCCUGCUCCAACUCGCCAGGUUCCUCAAGGAACAGGAAGACAUAGUGAGAGAGGACAUCAUUCAGGUUGGCCGCCCCACCAAGAAGAAAUCCUGCUGCAGAUGACAGGAGGCCUCAGAGAGGACUGGACUUCCUCCGCCCCUGGCAGGGCUCACCCAGACCUCUGUCUUUGUUGGGGACUUGCCUCCCCCAGAGGAAGGGAAGCAAAUGGAUCAGCAGUGCUGCUCUCAAGCAUCUCUUCUAGAUCCCAAGUGUCCACUCUUCCCCCCUCCCCUCCAGCUUGGUUUCCUGGGGGAAAGAAACAGGUGGGCCAGAAAAACCAUCAGGUGCCUCCUCCUCCUCCCUUCUCCCCUUGCCCUUAGGAGCUCUGUGCUCUGGUUGCCAUGGCAACUGUGCAGGGCCAACUUGCUGCUUCCUGGAGGCCAAAGAUGUGCCAAAUUUGUUGCUCUUCCUUUGACCCCUAUUCUCCAGAGGUCAAAGGGGGUACUCUUGUCACACAUUUCAUAGACCUUGACAGACUUGAACAGAAAGAAGAAAAUCACUCAGGGUUCCGCCCUUCCCCCAUCCCAAGCCUCAGAGCAGUCUCUUGGUGAUCACCACAUUCAUGAAUUGUCCCCCUUUGGGUCUGUGGAACAGUGCCUCCCAGAGAACCCACAGCCUUUCUUGCCCAUCCCUAGUGACAUCCUUGACUCCAGGGCAAGCCAAGGGUGACAAUUUAUGUCUGGAGUUAGGGAGUCAGCUUUCUUCCUACCUAACUCUGACUAAGAGAUGAAAACAAGGGGAAAAGCCAUCUGCUGCUAAAGGGAACAACCAUCUCUGGAGGGUAUAAGUAAGGUAUAGACAGCUAUAUAAAGCCGUGUUCUAAAUGUGCCUCAGAAUAACUCAAAGAAUCAUGCAUGAUGAUUAAUGGAGGAGACUGAUAUGCAGGCAGUGUGGCCUAGCACCAAGGCCGUAGUUACCAAAUUCAUUUUAUAUUAUUUUCCUUUUCCAGGAGAGUAUGCUUUUCUUUAAUGUGGCUGUAAUGUCGGCAUUUUAGUGGUGUUUGGAAGGUGACUAAGGUGUAGCUGCUGGCUUUGGCACAGGCUGCUCGGACAGAAAGAUCUGGGUCCCCGUGAGAUUCCUUUCACGAGAGAAGGGGAAGUUCUAGCACUAGAGUGCCCCAGGAUCACUGGAUGGACGUCAGGUGCAGGCAAGGGCAUUCAUUCUUGUCCUGGGUAAGAAGCCAGAUAAAAAAAAUCAUAAGAUCCCUGCCGAGGUACCCCCAGCAAGGUGAGUGGUUUAGGCCCCAGUGUCAGAGCACACUGAGCAGAAGACAGCGGGAAGUGUCCCAAGGUCACGGCUCCAAGCAGCUGGCCAAAGACAGCCCACACACAGCCAGACAGGGAGAGAAGAAGCUGCUAGCUAGAGUUCCUAGGGGUAUUUCCAAGCCUCCUCUUCAGACUGCAGAAAACGUCAGCCCCAGUGGGUCACCAGGCAAGUGGCAUCUCCUUUCUGCAGAUCUCUCUCCCCACUUCCUCUUUUUUUCUCCCUCCACACUUGCAAAAACCAGAGACCCAUGAGGCACAGAGUGUCUAAAGGUCUGGAGUGUUCCCUCCAGGCUCCCGCCUCACCAGGCUCUUUUCACUUGGGAGCUUCCUGCUCAGAUACUGAUGGUGGUGUAAUCAUUUUCCUUCACUGACUGACCCUAGGUCCCUUGUACAAGUUUGGAGAGAACUUUCAAGGAACUCCUUCCCUAAGGGAAAGGCAGUGGUGACUGCCUCACGGUGGGGUGUGGCCCCUUGAAGAAAGGAUAUGUAGGUGUGUGUGUGUGUGUGUGUGUGUGUGUGUGUGUGUGUGUAGGGCAGGUGGAAGGCAAGAUGGUCUUAGAAUAGGUCAGUUCCUCUGCUUCUGACCAAACAGAUGGAACUGGUAUUACAGGUAAGCAGAGUCCACUUGGGGCUCUCUAAGUCCUCAGACACCUUUAUCCCCUUGCCUUAUCCCUGCCUCAGGUUUCAUUUUCCCCAUUAGUAAAGUGCCUUCACGGGUUUUUUCCAUUUAUAAAGUGGAACAACCCUGCUGCCAGGCUUCUGGCGUGGAGAGCAAAUGCCAGCACUCUUCAGAGGCCUGGCAGAGAAAGAUGGUGUAAGAGGAUCUCCACCAAUUUCAGGAGACCACAGGGAGUGUCCCCAGGCCAGGCCUCCAAGGAGGCCUCUGCUUCCUUCUUCUGUAGCCUCACUGUAGGAGAGUGGAGAGCUGAUGUUUCAGGAGAACUCCGAGAAGUCCCCUGUCCCCUCAUCUGACUCAUUUUAGCCACUAGGUCGACCAGAGUCAACCCAGAGGUCACCCUGGCCCAGGGGCUGGCAGGAUGCCUGGAACAACCUUCUGGUUCUGUCCCACUUGUAUUGCUGUGAAGAUCUCAAGCCAGUCACCUAACCAAGCUGUCCACUCACCUGUACACUGGGUGUUUUUAUCCCCAUGACAUCCAGAGUGCUACAGGAAGUAAUGGAUGUAAAGUACUUAGCACAGUGCCCAGAACCUCAUAGGUACUGAGAAGCAGGGUCUAUGUUUGUUUGGUCAGCACUGAGUUGCUGCCCCGUCUGCUUGCCUUACUUUGGUUUUAGAUUGAGAACCAGCUAACACUUAGCAAGCAUCUAUCUGAAACAAGCCUGUUCACAGAGACCACCUCUCUUGAGCAUCUCUCUGCCUGACCCAUUUGCAAGGUUCUGGGUUCAGGUCUGACCUCACCACGUGGCCUCAUGCCCUUCAUUCCUGGCUUUCCUGUCAGUGCCGAUAUCCUGGCAGAACUUGUUGUCUGAUUUCAGCUCUGAUCCACUCCUCACCUUGUCCAAGACUCAGGCAGCAGCUCAGAGCUGGUGCUGGCCCUGGCUAUUUACCUGUGAGUGGCCAGUACUCUUGCUCACAGCCAAGCCUUGCCCCUGCUCCGCCAGCAUGGCUUCUUAUGCUCUUUUUGGGGUCUGCUGCUGCCUUUGGCCCAGCGUCGCCAGUUCAAGAACUCCAGCACCAAAUCAAUGCCUGGGCUUACCUUGCAUCUCACAUGUGCUUCCCUGCAGUCUCCUUAAGGUCUUAGAGUGACACCCCAGUUCUCCCUUUCCAUCCUGUAUUAAUUCCCUACUCUUAGGACCUGCAUUCAGUCUUGGGGUCCCUGCUCUCCUGGGUCCACACCGGGGCCUACUUAUGUGCUCCAUCAAGAACACCUGGAACCUUCAUUCCUGUCCCAAACAGUCACCCUUCUGAAGGAUCUUAAACCAAUCCCAGAGGAGGUAUUUCACACAAAUAGUAGCUCCAGAGCAGUAUUUGUAUGUUAACAAAGAACUCUAAGUGACGCAAAACUAACCCAAAUGAAGAGUCCAUAGGGUUAAAUAUUAAACACUACAGUGAUCAUGAAGGUUACAUAUUUAAGACAAAGCUGUCUGCUUUCAUCAGACCUUUGUUUGCUUCAUGCAUUUAGAGACUCUUGCUUGCAUUCAGAUAUGCUUGUCCCUGUGACAUCUCUGGGAUGUCUUAGCCCUUUGUCAUUAUGAAGCACCCUCUGUUGAAUUAACAACUUCUGUUUUAAAGCCCAUUCCAUUCUGCCUUGUACUACAAUAGCCACUUUUUGUUGCUGUUCGCAUAGUGCAUUUUUUACAUUCUUUUAUUUCCAGCCAAUAGGCUGACACAAAUAUGUGUCUUUAAAUCUAAAUUGAAUCUGUUGUUGAUAGCAUACAGUUAGAUCAUUUUUAAAGCCUGUUUUUCCAAUUUCUCUUCUAAUUGGAAAGUUUAUUUGCAUCUAACGCAAUUGACAAGCAGGAUUUAUGUCUGCUGUUUUGCUGUUUAUUUUCUACCCAUCAUUUUUAUUCCUCUAUUCUUCCAUUACUACUUUUUGUAUUAAAUAGGUACCUUCUAGUGAGCCAUUUUAAUCUUUUAUUUUAACUGUACAUUUUUACCUGUUUUCUUGGUGACUACCCUGAGGAUCACCAUUAAUAUCUCAAUUUACUAGCAAUCUGUUUGGAUUAAUAGCAACUUAUUUUCAAUAAUACACAAAAAAGUUGCUCCUCUAAGGCUUCAUUUUCCCUGCCUCAUACUGUUGUCACAAAUUACAUCUUCACACAUUCUGAGCCUAUCAACAUAGAUGUGUAAUUAUUGUUGUAUUCAGUUGUCUUUUAAUGGUAGAGAACAAAGGAGUUUUUUAAAAAAUUAUACUAUCUUUUAUAUUUAACUAUACAAUUGAUUUUACUAGUGCUCUUGAUGUCUGCAUGUCAACUUGGAUUAUUAUCUUGUGGUUUUUCAUCUCAGCCUGAAGGACUGGUUUCCUUUAGUAUUUCUUGAAGGGCUGUCGUGGUUACUUUUCUCAUCACUAAGACACAAUAUUCAAGGCCCACAAGUUAAAGGAGGAAAGAUUAGUUUCAGCUCACAGUGAGGUUUCAGUGCAGUCAGGUGGCUCCAAGGCAGGGUGCCACGGCAGAAGGGCCUCACAGAGAGCAGGCAGAAGGCUGCAGAGCAGUGCAGGGCAAACCUCUCUUUCCCUUUUAUCACAUCAGGCUAAUCUUUUUGGGUUGUACCAUUCCAUAUCCAGAACUGGGAUAAACCAAUCAGUAGACUACUUCAUUACCAUACAACCUUAAUCUCCCAGCACCACAUACCCAUGAUUCAGCAACCUCCAAAAAGCCCCACCUAAAAGCACGUGAGGUUUUAGGGGGGCAUCUAUGCAAAAGCUGUAACAAGAGCAGACCUGCUAUAGAUAAACUCUCUCUGUUUCUGUAUAGCUGUGAAUGUCUUAAUUUAUCUUGCAUUUCUCAAGGUUAUUUUUGCUAGCUAUAGAGUUUUAGGUUGACAUCUGUUUCCAGCAUUUAGACUGUGCAUCCCAGUGUUUCUGGCCUCCCUGGUUUCUGACAUGAAAUUAACCAUUAUUCUUACUGAGGGCCCCUUGUAUGUGAUGAGUUGCUUCUCUCUUUGUGUGUGGCUUUCAGCUCUUUGCUUUUGAUGUUUCCAGCUGUGGAUUUCUUUUGAAUUUAUCUCUCUUGGUGUGUGUUGAGAUUCUUGAUGGGUAGAUUAAUAGUCCAAAUUGGGAGAGCUUUUGUCAUUUUUUUCAAAUAUUCUACCUACCAUAUUCUCUCUUCCCUUUCCUUUUGGGCUCUCAUUAUGCAUAGAUGGCAUUCUCAAUAGUGCUCCACUGGCUACUGAGGCUCUGCUCAUUAUUUUUAUUCAUUUUUGUUUGUGUUCUUCAUCUGAUGUCAAUUGACCUACUUUAAAAUUCACUGAUUCUUCUACCUGAUCAAAUAUGAAUUUUAUGUAAAUUUAAGUUAAUUUUUCAUUUCCAUUAUUUAUUAUACCUUAGACUCCAGAAUUUCUGUUGGGUUCCUCAUUAUAAUUUUCUAGUCUUUAUUAACAGUCUCUUCUUUGCAAGUCUCUAUUUUCAUCCUUUUUUCUAGUUCUUUAGACAUGGCUUCCUUUAAGUCUUUAGCUGUAUUUAAAAUAGCUUAGAUUUAAAGGCUUAAGUCUUCUUCCUUCCUUAUACGCCACAAAACACAGCUAGGAGCCAGUCUCCUUCCUUAUCUCUGCCACCGGCCUCCUCUCCAGAGUCUCUCCUCUCUUCUGAAAUGGAAAGUGGAAGGGGUCUUUGGGAUUGAGAUCAUUCUGGGUGACCAGUGGAGUUGAGGUGCCCAAGGAGGUGCCCAGUUCCUUGGGCAAGCAAGGGGAGCCCAGAAACCCUUACACAAGACUCCUAAGAAUCCAGACAUCCAGUGUGGAAGUCAGAUCUGAAGCUUGAAAAGUAAAAGGCAGUUUACUCCCAAAUAAUGAAAUUAUAGUACACAUGCAUGAAAAACCCAAAACCCAAUGUCCUGGGCUUCUGCUGGGACCAAACCCCUGCCUGGCUUCCAGGACUCAUGCAAAGGGUGGUCAGCUCCUCCUCCUCCUCCUCCUCCUUCUCCUCUUCCUGGGAAAUAGAAAGAGGCUACCCAAAGCCCAGCCAGGCCCAGUCAGAAUCCACAGGAUUUGACCUUGUUGGUCAUUUCCUCCCUCUUUAUAGUGAGGAGUGGCUGACAGGAUAGAAAUGCAGUGUGAACCUCCCAUACCCACUUUCCUACCUCUGUUGGUGUUUCUAUUCAUGGACAUAUUAAUUACCAGCAACAGCAAUAACAAAGAACAUCAUAACUCCACUGUUCACACAAUUCAGUGGAGCCAAUUUAAUCAAAGUGCCCUACUUAGGAGAACAUUGCUGGGAGUUGAGGGGGCUGGGAGACCACGCAAGGCAAUGGUUGGCCGAGGACCUGAAAGCCAUGUGGAGCUGAGAAGGUUGGACAGGGUUGCACCAUUUAUCAUCCUGGGGCCAGAGCUGAGUCAGGUCUAAGCUGACCCUUUCUCCAAGCUAGGACCUCAUGGAGACUUUGGCUCAGAUUUAGAGGUGGUGAUUGUAGACCCUUGUCAUAGCACUGGGAGACUCCUCUCCCUACAAAUGAGGACUCCUAGAAUCAGCAAGACCUGUGCUAUCACAGUGAAUUAUGACUGGAUCCAUCUGCCCUAUACAAAUAAAUAGAAGACUACACUAUCAAGCAGAAGUUGCAAAAGAACACAGACAGAAUAGGAUCGUUAUUUUUUCAACUUGGAAACAAUAAUUGAAACAUGUGAGUGUGAACUCAGAAUGAAUCAGGGAAACAUGACUGUGGAGGUGCAGCACUAGGUCAAGGGCAGAGUGCCAGGGUGUAGUCCCGGCUCUCCCAGGCUACUCUGUAAUGGUGCUAAUCCCUACAUACUGUUUAAAGGACUUGGGGAAUGAAAGGCCCUGGACCAAGGUCCUGAGAGCAGGAGCAACCAUAUCCAUGGCUUUUUGUUUGGCCCAGUGCCUAGCAAGUUGUCUUUGCCUUAUGGGAGCAUUUGAAGGCCAAGUGUCAUUUCUGGAGAACAAGGCUCAUCCCCUGGGAGAACUGCACCUCUGGAGCCUAGGUCCCAGAGGCUGUUCUGCUGUGCCCCUGUCCUGGGCAGACCCAUGGAGUUUGCUUCGAUGGUUCAAAUGAGGUGCUUCUUCUAGCUUUUACAGCAGCACACUGGGGAGCCUUCUGGCUGCUGUGAUUCCAUUGCCUCUCAGACAGCGUGAUGCCCAUCAAAGCCUUCCAUCUCAGCCCUGCCCACAGCCUCCCCAGCUGCUGCCAGUGGCAAUCAUUACCUUCAGGCUGUUCAACAACUCAAUUUUGCUUGAGCUCCCUGCCUCUGUGCCCAGAAGAUGUUUUCUGGCCCAUUUCUCUUUGUUCUUGGUGUGGAACCAGCCCUAUACCCCAUUGUCCCUCUCCCAAAAGCUUUCUCUGGUCCCCAAGACCUGCUCAGAAUAAGGACCUGCAUGAAAGUUGUGUGACUUUGUGCAAGGCCUAGACUGGCUGGGUGUCUGAGCUCACUUCCUCAUUUGCACAAGAGCGCUCCCAGCCUUGCUCUCACAGUGGGGACCUCAGGGAAAGAGCCAAGUCAACUGAAAGACACAGUGCAAAUGAUAGUUAUUAACUCAUCAUGUCUCCCUACACAGGAAACCAAACCAAACACAGUAGGAUAAAGAGAGAAUCUACAUUUCUCAGUAACUGGGAGAAGCUAAGGCCAAAGGUAGACGCUCCUCCCAUUUCCCCUUUGGAAGAGAAUGAGCAAAACUUGCAUUUCUUCAAGCUAGAGAAUUUCCUGCUUUCUCUCCACAAUGAUUUGGCAUUGCAUGAGGUGCCAGUGUCACACAGACUAUAAGGUCUUACCAUCAGGGUUGCGGUCUCCAUAUUUGUAUCUACCAUAUGACCUACAGAACAAAUGCUGAGUGGGGCAGAUGCAUGAAGUGAAGUCAUUAGGUCAUGCAUUCUUGACUGGCCCACCUUGGUAUACAUAGUUUAUAAAACACUUCCACAUUGGGAUAGUGAAGAAGUUCUGGAGCUGGAUAGUGGUAGUCAGGGCAGGCUGCACAUGGUAUCAUGAAUGUACUUGUAAAUUUUUAAAUGGUUAAAAUUAUAAAUAUUAUGCAUCUUUUACUGAAAUAAAGUAGAAAAGCACAAAAAUAUUCAUGUUUCAUGAAGGAAGGAAGGAUUGACUUUCUUCCAUCCCCAGCAAUUAGGAAGCCCCACCCUGGCCUUGUGUCACAUCCAAGGGCACAGGUGAGAAGGAAGACAACCUGAUCUCUAGCCCUGGGAACUGCAGGGCACUUGAGAGCAGCAAACUCCUGGAAACCCACUGUACCAGGUGUACAUGACACCCACAGCCUCCCCUCUCCCAGGCUGGACUCUGCCCAGAAAGUGCUCAGCACUCCUGGUGCUCACUCUGCCUGGCCCAUGCAUGUACUUCUCUUGGGGAGUUGGCCGCAUGCCACUUGUGGACAAACUCCUUGUAAAACAGAAUCUUCAUGCCCUGAAUCCCAACAGCAGUGCCGUCCUGGCUCCAGAGCAACUAUGACAGUGUGCUGAAUAAAAACCAAAUAAUGAAA